UACGAAGGGGGCUAGCGUUGCUCGGAAUCACUGGGCGUAAAGCGCACGUAGGCGGAUCUUUAAGUCAGGGGUGAAAUCUUGGAGCUCAACUCCAGAACUGCCUUUGAUACUGGGGAUCUCGAGUCCGGAAGAGGUGAGUGGAACUCCGAGUGUAGAGGUGAAAUUCGUAGAUAUUCGGAAGAACACCAGUGGCGAAGGCGGCUCACUGGUCCGGUACUGACGCUGAUGUGCGAAAGCGUGGGGAGCAAACAGGG
rnacentral:rRNA from 1 species